UCCCAGGUAGCUAGAAUGGUAAAGAAUCUGCCUGCAAUGCAGGAGACCAGGGUUCGAUCCCUGGGUUGGGAA
rnacentral:tRNA from 1 species